UACGGAGGGUGCAAGCGUUGUCCGGAUUUAUUGGGUUUAAAGGGUGCGUAGGCGGCCCUGUAAGUCAGUGGUGAAAUACUGCAGCUUAACUGUAGCAUUGCCAUUGAUACUGUAGGGCUUGAGUACAGAUGAGGUAGGCGGAAUUGAUGGUGUAGCGGUGAAAUGCAUAGAUACCAUCAAGAACACCGAUUGCGAAGGCAGCUUACUAAGCUGUAACUGACGCUGAGGCACGAAAGCGUGGGGGAUCGAACAGG
rnacentral:rRNA from 1 species